rnacentral:lncRNA from 1 species
CAGACAGAUUCUCCUCUUACUUUGUCUCAGGCAGAGAAAUCAGUCACAAUAGGUGGAAAUUAGAUCUUUGUCUUUGCUUUUCGUAAAGAAAUGUGAUUGCCUGCCUUCCUCAAUUUGCCUUUAAUCCUGGAGUUCUACGUGAGUGUUUCCAAGAACAUCAAAGUCUACUUGUUUGAUCUCCACGCCUACCAUCUUCAUAUAAAUUUUGCUGGACUCAUCAAGGACACAAGGGAUUAGAAAGCUACAUUUAUACAAUUCAAAGGCCUCAUAUUGCAGAGAAAGUAGAAAGGAUUUGGGACCGAGGAUUACUCAACUUGGAGACUAAACACCUCAGGGAUCCUCAAUAAGCCUAUUGCUAUAAGCAAGCCAAAAACCUUAGCAUUCUUUGACAAAACACUGUUAAGACUAUCUUAAGAAACAAAGAGGAGGGAGGGCUAUCCGCAACAGCUAGAGAGUUAGCUCAGCACAGGCUGAGAGUUGUUAACAGUGCAGGCUGCUUUUGCAGAGGAACUAGGUUCAACUCCCAACACCCACAUGGCAGCUCUAAUUCCAGUCCAAGGGGAGCCAAUACUUUCUUCUGCUCAUAUAUACAUGAGCAAAAUGCUCAUACACAUAAGAUAAUUAAAUAAAUCAAAAAAUAACUAAAAAAAAAGGAACAAAGAGAAAUUUGUUCCUCCUGCAGAAGCCAAGGAUAGACUUUGCUCAUCUUCAUCCAGGUCCAAAUGAUACCACGAGAUUUGUCUUGUGUCCAUCUCACUGCUCUACAAUCUUCUGUGAUGGUGAAAUUCUCAGAUUCCUCUUGUGCCCUGAUGACAUCACAGAACACGGUAUCACAAACUGCGCCCUUCAAAUUACAAGUCUAUUUUGACCAAGACGUCUCUCCCUCCGUCCUGCCGUUUUCUUGUUCACUGUCCACGACUUGGUGUUUUCAGCUCGAGGUUGCACAUGCCACUCGAGAUUCGGUAAAGCCCUUUUCUCUGCUUCCUCUGGACAUUUUCUGUUCUUUGCAUUGUAAGGCAAAUGUCUCCCUUUCAGGGUACUCUGCCAUAACUUAGAAGCCAUCUGUCCCUGCCAGUACAGCAUGUGGAGUGGACAUCUGGCAGACUUUCUUCUCCUGUGACUUUUAUAGAGUAUCUGUCCUAGUAGACAAUGUAUUUGACAACUAAGGUUCAUAUCCUUAUUUAAUUGUCUCCAUGCCUGUGAUACAGGCAUCUUGGUACCACUUUAAAGGCUAAGUGGGAG